rnacentral:misc_RNA from 1 species
UUUUUUUUUUUAAUAAAAGAUGUAAAUUCGUAUUUCUAUGCAGUGAAUUUUCACGAGAGCAUGUUCAACAAUGAGGAUUGUUACAUAGGCAUUUCACCACUGUCUAAAAUGACAACUUUAUGUUUCGGCACUCCACUCUGACUUCCUUGGGAUUCAAUAGUGUAGACUACAUCCAUGCCUGAAAGAACCUUGCCAAAUACAACAUGGCGACCAUCCAACCAGCUAGUGGUUACAGUAGUAAUAAAGAACUGUGAUCCAUUGGUGUCUUUCCCAGCAUUUGCCAUUGACAAUAAUCCAGGUCCAGUAUGUUUCAGCUUGAAGUUUUCAUCAGGAAAUUUCAUGCCAUAGAUUGACUCUCCACCUCGCCCAUCGCCAGUAGUAAAAUCACCACCCUGGAUCAUAAAGCUGGGAAUAAUCCUAUGGAAUAUGCUUCCUUUGUAAUGGAGGCGCUUCCCACUUUUUCCCUUUCCUUUCUCCCCUAGAAUGGCAGAAUUAACCAUAAAUGAAGUAAUAUGAAAGUUUAAAGCCUAAUUAGAUG